rnacentral:rRNA from 1 species
AUUGAACGCUGGCGGCAGGCUUUACACAUGCAAGUCGAACGAGUGGCGGACGGGUGAGUAAUGCAUGGGAACCUAGCUUAUGGAGGGGGAUAACUACGGGAACCUGUAGCUAAUACCGCGUACCAUAGGCUGAGCCCAAGUGGGAUUAGGGAGUUGGUGAGGUAAAGGCUCACCAAGCCGACGAUCUCUAGCUGGUGUGAGAGGCUGACCAGCCACACUGGGACUGAGACACGGCCCAGACUCCUACGGGAGGCAGCAGUGGGGAAUAUUGGACAAGGGGGGCAACCUGACGCAGCCAUGCCGCGUGUAUGAAGAAGGCCUUCGGGUUGUAAAGUUCUUUCGGUAGCGAGGCGUUAUCUGCAGAAGAAGCACCGGCUAACUCCGUGCCAGCCGCCGCGGUAAUUC